GAGGCAAAAAUAUUGUGAUAUUUCUGCAGAUGAUACCAUGGUAACAUCAAGGGUGAUGCUGGGACCUAGGCAGGUUGAGAGAGACCAUAUAAUUCUCAGUCUGGAUCAGUCUUUGGGGAUCUUUGUUUCCAAAGAGCAUCACAAGGGGUGGCCAUUGAGUUACUAAGGCUGGUGGUGGAAGCCCACUGGUGUAAAGGUACAGACAAUGGUUCAGAAAAAUGUGUUCCCCAAGGUGGUGUGUGAGCCACCUUGCAGAUCCACACUCUACCUCCAGAAGGCUACUGUGAUGUAUCCUUACCAGCUGUGAAGACAAGAAGCACAGAAGGAAGGAUAUCACAGAAAACCAAAGGAGAAGUAUCCAUGGAAACAGGAGAUCUUAUUGAGAGUGUCAGCAGAUAUGUUUUUGAAGAGCAGAUUUCCUCUGCACAGAAGUCAGGAAAACCAAAUGCCAUCCCACUGGACAAAACAAUCUUUCAGAUGAGCCUGGAGAGCUUCAGAGAUGAAGAUCACCCUCGUUCUCCAUGUGCAGCUUACAAUUAUAGUGGAGCAUAUGGCAAUGCAGAGGAGCAGUCAAGGUCCAGACCCCUGGGAUGAGUGUAGCUGCAGUCCUACAUCAGUGAAACCAAAUGACUUAUGGCAGAGAUGGCUCUGGUCCCAGGAGACAUCUGCUGCCUUGCUGGGGAAAGCUGUGGUGACUGCACAGAGCUGGCUGAUCAGAGCAGCAGAGCCCAGCUCAGACCUGUAGCCAAAAGUGUGCUUGGAAAUGCAGUGAGUAGCAUCAACAGGCACACCUUUUGAGUGCCUGCAGUAGUGCCUAGAAGCAGUUGAACCCAGACUAUGUAUCAGUAGUUUUCUGCACUGUUCUGGGGCAAUGGAAUAAAGGAAAACAAGACUGUUGCCAGAAUGGCCAUAUUUCCUUGCACUUCUACUAAGAGAUCUUUCCCUGUUACUCAAGGUGUUGCCAUCC